rnacentral:rRNA from 1 species
GUGCCAGCCGCCGCGGUAAUACGUAGGGUGCGAGCGUUGUCCGGAAUUACUGGGCGUAAAGAGCUUGUAGGUGGUUUGUCGCGUUGUUCGUGAAAUCUCACGGCUUAACUGUGAGCGUGCGGGCGAUACGGGCAGACUAGAGUACUGCAGGGGAGACUGGAAUUCCUGGUGUAGCGGUGGAAUGCGCAGAUAUCAGGAGGAACACCGGUGGCGAAGGCGGGUCUCUGGGCAGUAACUGACGCUGAGAAGCGAAAGCGUGGGGAGCGAACAGGAUUAGAAACCCUCGUAGUCC